rnacentral:rRNA from 1 species
CCUANGGGUGGCUGCAGUCGAGGAUCUUUUGCAAUGGGCGAAAGCCUGACAAUGCGACGCCGUGUGAGCGAUGAAGGUCUUCGGAUUGUAAAGCUCUGUCAGCCUGGAUGAAAGCUUACGAAUGAAUAACUCGUAAGUUUGACGUAACAGGCAGAGGAAGCCACGGCUAACUCCGUGCCAGCAGCCGCGGUAAUACGGAGGUGGCAAGCGUUGUUCGGAUUUAUUGGGUGUAAAGGGUAUGUAGGUGUCCUGUCAAGUCCUUCUUUAAAUACUUUGGCUUAACCAAAGAACUGGGAAGGAAACCGGCAGGAUUGAGUACAGGAGAGGAAAGCGGAAUUCCCGGUGUAAGGGUGAAAUCUGUAGAUAUCGGGAGGAACACCAGUGGCGAAAGCGGCUUUCUGGCCUGAUACUGACACUGAAAUACGAAAGCUAGGGGAGCAAACAGGAUUAGAUACCCUUNUANUC